CCUUUUAAUUCUGGUACUCAAUCAUUCCUCUUCAGUUUCAGUGUUUCAGUCACUGGCGCUUUGUUCUGAUAAUUUGGCAACUUUCCUCAGAAAAAUAUGAAGAUCUUCAACUGGGUUCAUAAGCGGCUUCAUCAGAAGGUUGAGUUUGCUGGAAAUGUGAAAAAAACUGAACUGGAAGUGGAAACCAAUCACAAGGGCACACAAGCAUUUCUCAAGCAAGUCGGACUUGUUAAUGUUGAUGGGCUUGACGGUUGGAGGGAGGGCAUUUUAACGAUAGGUACCUUGGGUUUCGAUCCCGUAAAACCCUUCAACCCUCAGAACGAAUAUUUCGUUUUGGAGAGCGCAGAGCACGAUCAGGAAAACAAUGGAUUUUCACACUGUGGUAAUGACUACGACGAAGAUGAUGAACAUUAUGAUGAUAAUUUUGGAGAUGAAGAACUGAAUCCUUUAAUGUUUAAAACAUUUGGACACAGUUUGAGGACGUUGGGUCAAACUCUGAUGCCACUGAGAAACUAGUUGAUGAUGAUCACGCGAUCUUGACCGUUGAUGGUGUUCCUCUUACACCAUACGAAGGGUCCAACAAUGAAAUCAGUAUUGCACCUCCUGAUCUGUACCGUUCCGAGAUCACUGAUGAUGAUCAAAGGAAGAAGAGAGGCCAAAGAAUAACCCUAGCUGACCUAUUCCAGGCUGAUCAUGUUCAUGAUGUUGGUCAACUGAAGCUUGACUCCUGCAAAGUCCAGCCAAAAAUGCAGAAAAAGGUGAACGUGAGAACAAAGACCGGCCUAUCAUUUGCCAAGAAGCUCAUUCUUCGCGUCAAAGAGGAUUCAAGUCCAAUAAAAAAUCUGCAACGACUGAUGAGGAGGAUGUUGAAGAGGAAGAUCCAUCCAGCUGAGCAUGAUGUCAAGGUUGACAAAUCAGAUGGCCAGAAGCAGCCCGGUGCAGUAGAACUCGUCACCAAGGUUAAAAGUGAUGCCUCUGAAUCAGUUUCUUUGCUUCAAAUUCAAGGUGCUACUGCUUGUGUCCAUUGAAAUAUGGCCUGAAACUUCAUUGCCUGGAAAUGAUUUGUACUUUGGUGAUUGCUAUAAUCACUAUAUGAAGGACAAUGUUAAUUAAUUAGCUUUUUAAGUAUGUGCAACUGCUGAACUAUUCUAUUCCUGUUUAAUUUGUAAUUUUUCUUAAUUGUUUUGGCUUUAGUAAUGAUGGGAGUUAUAUUUUUGUCACAUAGCUUAUAGGCUAUGAUUUGUGUGUCGACUUUUUGAUGCAUUAUCUAUUAACUUUAGCAAAAUGAUCCAA